CAGAGUUGCAAAACUCCCAACCAUUGUGAACGAACCGCUUAAGCUGCAGCGGGUGGCGCUUGCGCCCUUGCUAGCGGCCGGCAAACUCUUAAUUAUAAUGUAUCUCUGAGUAACUUAUUAAAUAAGUCA
rnacentral:misc_RNA from 1 species